rnacentral:tRNA from 1 species
GGAUAGCUCAAUGGUAGAGCACUAGACUUUAAAUCUAGCGGUUGAAGGUUCGAAUCCUUCUCC